rnacentral:scaRNA from 1 species
AGGUCGAUGAUGAUUGGUAAAAGGUCUGAUUGCACUGAAUGUCACGGUCCCUUUGUUGCCCUCAACUCCCAGCAGCCCAUUUUUUCCCUCCCGUCACAUUUAAGUCAUGUGUAUGGGAUCAUGGAGCAGCUGAUAAUUUGGGAUUCUGUCAGUGUGUGUUUCUGAGAGUGAUCGGCUCACAGCUGACGAGUAUCCAACAAAACCAGUUACACAGGAGACUGACGAGUGGCAGUCAUGGGUGUGAUGGUGCAUGAUCUCAAGUUUUCAAUCUGAGACCU